UACAGAGGGUGCAAGCGUUGUUCGGAAUUAUUGGGCGUAAAGGGUGCGUAGGCGGUUUGGUAAGUCUUAUGUGAAAUCUACAGGCUCAACUUGUAGUCUGCAUGAGAAACUGCCGGGCUUGAGUAUGGGAGAGGUGAGUGGAAUUCCUGGUGUAGCGGUGAAAUGCGUAGAUAUCAGGAGGAACACCUGCGGUGUAGACGGCUUUCUGGACCAUUGCUGACGCUGAGACACGAAAGCGUGGGUAGCAAACAGG
rnacentral:rRNA from 1 species